UACGUAGGGUGCAAGCGUUGUCCGGAAUUAUUGGGCGUAAAGAGCUCGUAGGCGGUUUGUCGCGUCUGCUGUGAAAACUCGGGGCUUAACUCCGGGCCUGCAGUGGGUACGGGCAGACUAGAGUGCGGUAGGGGAGACUGGAAUUCCUGGUGUAGCGGUGAAAUGCGCAGAUAUCAGGAGGAACACCGGUGGCGAAGGCGGGUCUCUGGGCCGUAACUGACGCUGAGGAGCGAAGGCUAGGGGAGCGAACGGG
rnacentral:rRNA from 1 species